GUACUCAAUCACACCUCACAAAAGAGAGGAAUCAAGGCAGCAUUUCAGAGAAUUCAGCCGGACUAUCGGAUACCAGCGCACAGCCUUGUCUUACACAACAGACCUGAAACCCAUGUUAUCUUCAUCCUGUGGGAGUCCUUGAACCCUUUAAUGCAGAUACACUGGAGUUGCUACCGUUAUGAAGAACUGUGUUUUAGAUUAAUUAUGUUUCCACAUCUUGCAAAGAGAUGGAGACACUAGGAGCAGCAAUAGA
rnacentral:lncRNA from 1 species